rnacentral:rRNA from 1 species
UAAGACGAAGGAUUCAAGCGUUGUCCGGAUUUACUGGGUUUAAAGGGUGCGUAGGCGGAAAUAUAAGUCAGUGGUGAAAUCCCGCAGCUCAACUGCGGAACUGCCAUUGAAACUGCAUUUCUUGAAUACGGUUGAGGUAGAUGGAAUGUAACAUGUAGCGGUGAAAUGCUUAGAUAUGUUACAGAACUCCGAUUGCGAAGGCAGUCUACUAAGCCGUUAUUGACGCUGAGGCACGAAAGCGUGGGGAGCAAACAGGAUUAGAUACCCUGGUAGUCCACGCCCUAAACUUUGAUAACUCGCUGUUGGCGAUAUACUGUCAGCGGCUAAGCGAAAGCGUUAAGUUAUCCACCUGGGAAGUACGUCCGCAAGGAUG